GCAGUAGCCGCGGUAAUACAGAGGGUGCGAGCGUUAAUCGGAUUUACUGGGCGUAAAGCGUGCGUAGGCGGCUUUUUAAGUCGGAUGUGAAAUCCCUGAGCUUAACUUAGGAAUUGCAUUCGAUACUGGGAAGCUAGAGUAUGGGAGAGGAUGGUAGAAUUCCAGGUGUAGCGGUGAAAUGCGUAGAGAUCUGGAGGAAUACCGAUGGCGAAGGCAGCCAUCUGGCCUAAUACUGACGCUGAGGUACGAAAGCAUGGGGAGCAAACAGGAUUAGAUACCCCCGUAGUCCCUGUCUCUUAUAA
rnacentral:rRNA from 1 species